ensembl:lncRNA
CAUAGACGUCUAUGAGGAAAUGACUCUACUUCUCUCUUGAUUUAUUCCCUCAGUAAACAUUGUAAACAUGAGUUUAUGUCUCAGUCUCUAGUUCCACGUCUUCUUCAUCCAGCAUGAUGUUUAUUUAGUGACUGAUGGUCCAUUUAGGGUCAAACAGGCCAUAAAGCAGGGGAUGAUUUAGGGCGGGGCUACACGUUGAUUGACAGGUCUGUACCAGGGACAAUACGCCGUCCCUACGUCCUCCUCUGCCCAAAUAUGGUCACUUUAGUUUAUUGGUUGCAAAACAAAACAUGGCAACAGCCAUAAUCUAAGAUGACGACGGAAAAAUCUACAAAAUCGUCAUAUUUCUUACAUUUCUACAUUCAUGGCGCUUACACACAACUCACUAGCAGAUAUUGUUGCUAGAAAAGGUGGAGGUCACUUCGUCGCCCCACAGAAGGCCUCCACACAGUAUUUGCUUAUCGCUGUUGCUCACACACAGACGCAUCUGCCGGCAGAGAUUCGGCGACCUCGGACGCCUUUGUUGCUCUGCGUCACUCGGCGGAAUCACUUUGUUCCUCUUACGUAAGUCAGAAGACGGAAUCUUCUCCUCCUUCAUCCACAUCUGCUGCUUUGUGUUUCCAGAGAACUACAGGAUCGUAACGGUCUGUUGGGGACAGUUCAGGACGAUUUAGAAGGUGGACAAAAAAACUAGAAGUGAUCUUGAACAAAAGCUCUGUGGCAGCAGGAGACUCGCGUCGUUCUCUCUACGUCAUAGUGAUUGAGGCUUUUAUUUUUCCAGUUCUUCAAUAAGCUAAUUAUUACGUCUCAAAGCCUCCUGAUGCCCCCAAAUGAAACUAAAUGUAGAACAUUUCAUUCAUGUUCAUCCAUUUUCCAAUAUAAUCGUCACAUAUGUCACAUUAUGUAUUCACCCACAGAUUAAAGGAACAUUCACUUAAAUAUGUUUAAAUGCGUCAUUGUGCAGAGAUGACGACAUGAAACUGGAUAAAAGUCUAACAUUAAAGUUCCUUUUCAUGCGGCCUCAGUAGGGAAAGACCCGAGGUGUAUUUCUCUCGUGUCAUUGGUCUCCUACAGUUUGACGCUGAAUCAUUCAUUACAAGCUCUGUGUUAUUGUGAUUUUUUAUUUAAUUUUGUGUUUGUUGAAUUCAAGACAAAUCUUUCUAUUGAGGACAAGAAGCUUCUUCUGUACUGCUCUAAACUACUGACCCCAUUGAUCGGUUUGCCCACCAAGCAGCUGUCAAAAGCAGAUGUUCCUUCUUUUCUUGGUACUUUCACUCUCAUCAUUUCCUCCAAACAUCAAUGUCAGAGAAACCAAGAUGAGAGCCGAAAACAGCUGUUAUCACAUCGCCUCCCCUGCGUGUACAGUGUGUGUGUGUGUGUGUGUGUGUGUGUACAUGGUGUGUGCGUGUACAGUGUGUGUGUGUGUGUGUGUGUGUGUGUGUGUGUGUGUGUGUGUGUGUGGCUGUUGCAGGAGGACAGCACUGUCUGUUCUUGUUGCUGCCGCGUCAUGAAGAUGAUUUCAUAUUGAUGGAGGUCAGCGGGACGUCUGGCGGCUCACCGGCUGUUCUUGA